UCCGGUUUGUCACCGGCAGUCUCUUCAGAGUGCCCAGCUUAACCUGAUGGCAACAGAAGACAAGGGUUGCGCUCGUUGCGGGACUUAACCCAACAUCUCACGACACGAGCUGACGACAGCCAUGCAGCACCUGUGCAUGGACUCCGAAGAGGGGCCCUCGUUUCUGAGAGCUUGCUCGUACAUGUCAAGCCUAGGUAAGGUUCUUCGCGUUGCGUCGAAUUAAACCACAUGCUCCACCGCUUGUGCGGGCCCCCGUCAAUUCCUUUGAGUUUCAGUCUUGCGACCGUACUCCCCAGGCGGAAUGCUUAAAGCGUUAGCGACGGCACCCGGGGACUAUAAAACCCCAGACACCAAGCAUUCAUCGUUUAAGGCUAGGACUA
rnacentral:misc_RNA from 1 species